AUUGAACGCUGGCGGCAGGCCUAACACAUGCAAGUCGAGCGGGUGAAGGGAGCUUGCUCCUGGAUUCAGCGGCGGACGGGUGAGUAAUGCCUAGGAAUCUGCAUGGUAGUGGGGGAUAACGUCCGGAAACGGGCGCUAAUACCGCAUACGUCCUGAGGGAGCAAGUGGGUGAUCUUCGGACCUCACGCUAUCAGAUGAGCCUAGGUCGGAUUAGCUAGUUGGUGCGGUAAAGGCCUACCAAGGCGACGAUCCGUAACUGGUCUCAGAGGAUGAGCAGACACUCCUACACGAAGACACGGUGGAGAAUCCUGCAGGAUGCGCCAGUGGGUGAUAUUGGACAGUCGGCUGAAUCCUGAACCACCUAUGAUUCGUGAGUGAUUAAGGCUUGGGGGUUGUAAAGCAAUUUUGUCCGUUACGAUUAUGACGUUACCAGAAGAAUAAGCCCCGGCUAACUUCGUG
rnacentral:rRNA from 1 species